rnacentral:rRNA from 14 species
AGACUGCCGGUGACAAACCGGAGGAAGGUGGGGACGACGUCAAGUCAUCAUGGCCCUUACGAGUAGGGCUACACACGUGCUACAAUGGAGCGUACAAAGGGUUGCAACCCCGCGAGGGUGAGCUAAUCCCAUAAAACGUUUCGUAGUCCGGAUCGCAGUCUGCAACUCGACUGCGUGAAGUCGGAAUCGCUAGUAAUCGCGAAUCAGAAUGUCACGGUGAAUACGUUCCCGGGCCUUGUACACACCGCCCGUCACACCAUGGGAGUUGGUUCUACCCGACGACGCUGCGCUAACCCUUCGGGGAGGCAGGCGGCCACGGUAGGAUCAGCGACUGGGGUGAAGUCGGAACAAGGUAGCCGUAGGGGAACCUGCGGCUGGAUCACCUCCUU